rnacentral:rRNA from 1 species
GACGAACGCUGGCGGCGUGCCUAAUACAUGCAAGUAGAACGCACAGUUUAUACCGUAGCUUGCUACACCAUAGACUGUGAGUUGCGAACGGGUGAGUAACGCGUAGGUAACCUGCCUGGUAGCGGGGGAUAACUAUUGGAAACGAUAGCUAAUACCGCAUAAUAUUAAUUAUUGCAUGAUAAUUAAUUGAAAGGUGCAAUUGCACCACUACCAGAUGGACCUGCGUUGUAUUAGCUAGUAGGAGAGGUAACGGCUCACCUAGGCGACGAUACAUAGCCGACCUGAGAGGGUGAUCGGCCACACUGGGACUGAGACACGGCCCAGACUCCUACGGGAGGCAGCAGUAGGGAAUCUUCGGCAAUAGACGAAAGUCUGACCGAGCAACGCCGCGUGAGUGAAGAAGGUGUUCGGAUCGUAAAGCUCUGUUGUAAGAGAAGAACGGGUGUGAGAGUGGAAAGUUCACACUGUGACGGUAUCUUACCAGAAAGGGACGGCUAACUACGUG